UUUUUUUUUUUUUUUUUUUAAGUAGAAUCAUUUGAUGUUAAUAAGUACAACUCUGUAUUAAUGUAUGUCGUUUGGCUACAUAACUGAUUAGCAAUGAGGAUCCAUUAGGUUAGUGUAAAUCGCUUUAUAUUGAUUUUAUAUGCUUGUAUGAUGAUAAUGAUCAUGUCAUCAUGAUAAGACUUUUUAAGUUAUUUAUUUAUUUAGUUAUGUAGCCAUGCUCUCUUACAGAUGAUGCUAAGCUUACUCCUCUUUUACGUCUUGUAGCU
rnacentral:misc_RNA from 1 species